AAAGUGUUAUUUGACUGGAGUGAGGUCUCAUGUCUGCUUAUGCGGUGGCUCGCUGCUCAGAACAGGAUGGCAGAGAUGAGCACCACCAUCAAAAACUCAAGGACCAGUGCUGUGGGUCCAGUCAUCUGUUUCAUGGAAUUCACCAGUCUGGUAUCUUCAAAAUCCAGAAGGAUGAUGGCAGAUGGCAGGAAGGAACCAUUGGAGAUACUCAUUACUCUUUGAAGGCUUACAGUGGAAUGAAUUCAAAUACGACUUAUUUGAGGAAUUGAAGUUGACUUUAUGGAGCUGAUAAGAAUCUUCUUGGAGAAAAAAAGACUGGAUCUUUCAUUGUAGUACUUCUGAAUUAACCAAAAUCACAGUAUUCUGAAGAUGAUUCUACAAAGCCUGCUGUUUCUACAAAGGCUGCUGAUGAUUUCUACAAAGCCUGCUGUAGUGUUGCUGUGGCCUCUGCUUAAAAAAGUAGAAAACACAUUGAUGCAGCAUGUUCACCCCAACCUCCCUGCCUAAAGGCUCAGGGACCAUCUUGGAAGAGGAAGGCGCGUGAGAUUGUAAGAGCCGAAUUAGGGGGAUGGAGUGUGGAGAAUAAGGACACUUCAUCUUGGAUGCUCACCUGCCAAAUUGACUUCUGAUGAAAGCCAGCUCCAGAAAUGUGCCUACAGUUACUACUUUCACCUAAACCCUGCCCUUAGUCAAAUCCUUCUCUUCUUCUAAGCAAUCAACUUCAAUUCCUUGUAUAACCCACAGUAUAAAAGGGCUUUUAUACCAUUCUAUCCUAUUGCAUGUAAGCCUUGGGUCUGGGAGGUAACAGUGUGGGAUUCCACCAUCUCAUCUCCCUGCCACCCAAACAUGCCUGCUCUUCUUUAAGCAAUAUUAAAUGUUUGUACUUCAGAAA
rnacentral:lncRNA from 1 species